rnacentral:rRNA from 1 species
CCUACGGGUGGCAGCAGUGGGGAAUAUUGCACAAUGGGGGAAACCCUGAUGCAGCGACGCCGCGUGAGUGAAGAAGUAUUUCGGUACGUAAAGCUCUAUCAGCAGGGAAGAAAAUGACGGUACCUGACUAAGAAGCCCCGGCUAACUACGUGCCAGCAGCCGCGGUAAUACGUAGGGGGCAAGCGUUAUCCGGAUUUACUGGGUGUAAAGGGAGCGUAGACGGCAGCGCAAGUCUGGAGUGAAAUCCCAUGGCUUAACCAUGGAACUGCUUUGGAAACUGUGCAGCUAGAGUGCAGGAGAGGUAAGCGGAAUUCCUAGGGUAGCGGUGAAAUGCGUAGAUAUUAGGAGGAACACCAGUGGCGAAGGCGGCUUACUGGACUGUAACUGACGUUGAGGCUCGAAAGCGUUGGGAGCAAACAGGAUUAGAUACCCGAGUAGUC